AUUAGCUGCUAUCUCGGUGCUCGGAUGGAUAAACAGAGCAAGGGUGGCGCUGAAAAAAAAAAAGAAUUAAAAAGAGAAAAGCACUCGUGAAAGAAUCGGCAAAAUGUGCAAAAAUAGCUAUUUUUUUCAUGCAACGACCUCGCUGCCUCAAACUACAAAGGAUUACAACGAAAGUGCACCUCACAAGGGAUAUGUAGCAGUAAGCAUUAGCCAUAAUGAACACACCACAGCUGCAGAGCUGGAAGGUGGAGCUCCUGAGUCUACACCUCACCUUUUUUAAAGUCCGAUGAGAAGAGAAGGCAACAAGUAGGAAAUUCUUUGACAUUUGUGCGGUGAAAAACAUGGACAACCAUAUGGAUGGACUUCAACAAGACUGACGCUGUAUAGUUAAGACUGUUGGCAAUGCCAACAGUCAUAACUAUACGGUAUGAGUCAAUAACAAUACAUGCCAACUUGGCAUGUAUUGUUCUUUAAUUGCAUUUGUAAUAUUGUAAUUGUUCAUACUUUAAUUGCAUUUGUUAUAUUGAAAUUGUUCGUUUUCA